GGACGAACGCUGGCGGCGUGCUUAACACAUGCAAGUCGAACGGAGUUACGUUUUCGGAUGUAACUUAGUGGCGAACGGGUGAGUAACGCGUGAGGAACCUGCCUCUCAGUGGGGGACAACAGUUGGAAACGACUGCUAAUACCGCAUAAUGUCAUUGGACGGCAUCGUUUAAUGACCAAAGAUUUAUUGCUGAGAGAUGGCCUCGCGUCUGAUUAGCUAGUUGGUGGGGUAACGGCCCACCAAGGCGACGAUCAGUAGCCGGACUGAGAGGUUGACCGGCCACAUUGGGACUGAGAUACGGCCCAGACUCCUACGGGAGGCAGCAGUGGGGAAUAUUGGGCAAUGGGCGAAAGCCUGACCCAGCAACGCCGCGUGAAGGAAGAAGGCCUUCGGGUUGUAAACUUCUUUUACCAGGGACGAACACAAUGACGGUACCUGGAGAAAAAGCAACGGCUAACUACGUG
rnacentral:rRNA from 1 species